UGCAAGUCGAGCGAGAAAGGCCUUCGGGCUGAGUUACAGCGGCGGACGGGUGAGUAACGCGUAGGAAUCUACCUGGUAGUGGGGGACAACAUGGGGAAACUCAUGCUAAUACCGCAUACGCCCUAUGGGGGAAAGCGGGGGAUCUUCGGACCUUGCGCUAAUAGAUGAGCCUAAGUCGGAUUAGCUAGUUGGUGGGGUAAAGGCCUACCAAGGCGACGAUCUGUAGCGGGUCUGAGAGGAUGAUCCGCCACACUGGGACUGAGACACGGCCCAGACUCCUACGGGAGGCAGCAGUGGGGAAUAUUGGACAAUGGGGGGAACCCUGAUCCAGCCAUGCCGCGUGUGUGAAGAAGGCCUUAUGGUUGUAAAGCACUUUAAGCGAGGAGGAGGCUACUGAGACUAAUACUCUUGGAUAGUGGACGUUACUCGCAGAAUAAGCACCGGCUAACUCUGUGCCAGCAGCCGCGGUAAU
rnacentral:rRNA from 1 species